CCUACGGGAGGCUGCAGUAACGAAUCUUCCGCAAUGGGCGCAAGCCUGACGGAGCAAUACCGCGUGUGGGAUGAAGCUUCUACGAAGUGUAAACCACUGUCAGGGUCUAGUACCAACGAACAGACCCAGAGGAAGGACCGGCUAAUUCCGUGCCAGCAGCCGCGGUAAUACGGAAGGUCCAAGCGUUAAUCGGAAUCACUGGGCUUAAAGCGUACGCAGGCGGACUGGUAGGCAUUCUGUGAAAUCCCACGGCUCAACCGUGGAACUGCAGAGUGAACCCCCAGUCUCGAGGCAGGUAGGGGUGAGUGGAACUAUGGGUGGAGCGGUGAAAUGCGUAGAUAUCCAUGGGAACGCCAAUGGCGAAGGCAACUCACUGGGCCUGACCUGACGCUCAGGUACGAAAGCGUGGGGAGCGAACGGGAUUAGAUACCCUAGUAGUC
rnacentral:rRNA from 1 species